rnacentral:lncRNA from 1 species
GUCUCCCAGCGCUUCCUUUCCUCAUCUGCUCUCCAUCUCGCCUGGCCUUCGUCUCUGUCAUUCAUCUUCUGAGAAGGGAAGCAAAUGAUUCCUACCACUCGCAGAAGUCAUGAGCCUAAUUUUACUUGGGAAUCUUAGAAUAUAAAUGACACAAAUGGCAUUUUAACAGUGGUUGAUAGAGUAGCAUCAUGUGUGCUUCUAACCUGUUUUGUUUUUUAAAAAAGUAAAAUGGUUUUGUUUUUGUUUUCAUUUCCUUUCUUUCUUGGAACUCCGUUUAAAAAAAUACCUGUUUCCAAUGUUUAAAUUCUUGAAAAACUGAAAAAUUAUUUUUAAGACAAAACUACGUUCUCAAACAGGAAAAUAAAAGAAUGCUUAAUUUUUAUAGCCAGAUAACUUUUGUUACCCGGAGGGUAAGCAUUAUAACUAUAUUGAUUUUAUGUAGAUCUUAAUUAUUUAACAUUUAUUGUUUUUCUGGUAAGAAAUCCAACAUUGUCAUGCAUUCUACGGCUGUUGGCCCAUUCAUGUCCUCUUGAUGUAUAUGCUGCUUGCCAGAGGUUAGCUUUCUGCAUACUUCAGCCCAUAAUAAUGAAAUCAGCAGUACUCACAUAUUUUGGGCAUAGAAUGCACCCAUAAAAUGUGACAAUGGGCAGCAGGUGUGAGCAUGCAUCCGGUCACCCCUCCCUGCCCUCCCUAACGCACCGACGUUUGAAAGUUCGUGUCAGUCUUAAGUCCUGAAUGGUUCUUAACCACCUGACUUUCUUACUGUGAAGAUGCCCAGUGUAAAAAAAAAAAAAAAGGCUUUGAUAAUUUGAUGGACAAAUUAUCGCUUUUUAAAAAAAACAUUCCAGUUUGGGUUCAAUUACCAGUGAACAGGAAUUUUACAGCUAAAAGUCUGAGGUUAAGAUUUCUUGAUUUCUGAAAGACUAACAAAUCAAUUCCGCUCCCUUCAGGCAAGGAAAGUGCUCAGACACACCUGUCCCUUCAGAAACUAAAUAGAGAAAAAUUCUGUUCCCCUUCAGCCAAAGAAAGUGCUCAGACACACCUGUCCCUCCAGAAAUUAAAUAGAGAAAAUCUGUUCCAUUUCUCUUUUCAUGAUUCUGUCAGGCGUCUGAACUCCAUUGCAUUUGAAAGGACCAUUCAGGUAAACAUUCUUCAGCUUGGAAGUGAAUUCAUCUUGGCAUGUGAAGCCCCACAGCCGCCUACAUCGUUCCCCACAUUGAUCUGGGGCUGUGUCCUCAGCAGGGACUCUGCACAGUUCUCAGUACUCCAUACCCCGGUUAGCUUGUGGCCCGGUUUCUCCAUGCCUGCCUUCCAUCCCAGGAGAUGAGAUGCAAGGGUUGAGCAUCUUUUCCCUCUCGGCUUUGCAGCGUUUGCCUCUGCACAGUGUGUAGUACUGGUGGUAGUUUUCCUGAGGAAAGAAAUUUCAGUUUUCAUCCCUUGAUUAUUACUGUUCAUCAUAAGCAGUAUGAGAGGUCACAGCUAUGCAACAUCUGAAUGUCCUCUUGAUGCUGUUUCCUGUUGUGUUUUGUGGGCUGUAGCUCUCCUCUCCUUGAGACAUUAACUGAGGCAAGAAGCCCAUGAAUACUUGGUAUAUGGAGGGAAGAUUGGUGUGAUGAGACCAUUAUCACAUGUUUUACCAAAUGCCAACUAGUCUUUUGUAGUUUUUCCUUCUUAAAUUUCUCUGAUAUGAGAAGCAAAACCCCAUGCUAGCUUAAAACAAUGUUUCUGAUUUUAAACAUUUGUAACAAUCUCCCCUCAUCUGAGAAAUAUGCCUUGAGAAAUACAGGAAAAGCAAGAGUGUUAAAACCACCUCAAUUCUGCAUACUACAUGUGUGUAUAUCUGUGUGUAUAUGUUGGGAGAUGACAGCAUAAAUUUUGCUUCUAAACCCC